GACGAACGCUGGCGGCGUGCUUAACACAUGCAAGUCGUACGGUAAGGCCCUUUCGGGGGUACACGAGUGGCGAACGGGUGAGUAACACGUGAGUAACCUGCCCACAACUUUGGGAUAACGCUAGGAAACUGGUGCUAAUACUGGAUAUGUGCUCCUGCUGCAUGGUGGGGGUUGGAAAGCUCCGGCGGUUGUGGAUGGACUCGCGGCCUAUCAGCUUGUUGGUGGGGUAGUGGCCUACCAAGGCGGCGACGGGUAGCCGGCCUGAGAGGGUGACCGGCCACAUUGGGACUGAGAGACGGCCCAGACUCCUACGGGAGGCAGCAGUGGGGAAUAUUGCACAAGGGGCGCAAGCCUGAUGCAGCAACGCCGCGGGCGGGAUGACGGCCUUCGGGUUGUAAAACGCUUUCAGCAGGGACGAAGCUUUUUGUGACGGUACCUGCAGAAGAAGCACCGGCUAACUACGUG
rnacentral:rRNA from 1 species